AAUCACCUGUCGAACUACCGCAGUUCGACAGGUACCCCUAUCGAACUGUGGUUGUUCGAUAGGUACCUUGUCGAACCACGGUUGUUCGAUAGGGUG
rnacentral:pre_miRNA from 1 species